rnacentral:rRNA from 1 species
GACGAACGCUGGCGGCGUGCCUAAUACAUGCAAGUCGAGCGGACCGAACGGGAGCUUGCUCUUGUUCGGUUAGCGGCGGACGGGUGAGUAACACGUGGGUAACCUGCCCGUAAGACCGGGAUAACUCCGGGAAACCGGAGCUAAUACCGGAUAACACCGAAGACCGCAUGGUCUUUGGUUGAAAGGCGGCUUCGGCUGCCACUUACGGAUGGGCCCGCGGCGCAUUAGCUAGUUGGUGAGGUAACGGCUCACCAAGGCGACGAUGCGUAGCCGGCCUGAGAGGGUGACCGGCCACACUGGGACUGAGACACGGCCCAGACUCCUACGGGAGGCAGCAGUAGGGAAUCUUCCGCAAUGGACGAAAGUCUGACGGAGCGACGCCGCGUGAGCGAAGAAGGUCUUCGGAUCGUAAAGCUCUGUUGUUAGGGAAGAAGAAGCGUCGUUCGAACAGGGCGGCGCGGUGACGGUACCUAACGAGAAAGCCCCGGCUAACUACGUG